GACGGAAGGUGCAAGCGUUGCUCGGAAUCACUGGGCGUAAAGGGUGCGUAGGCGGCCGUGCAAGUCUGGCGUGAAAGCCCCGGGCUCAGCCCGGGAAGUGCGCUCGAAACUGCGCGGCUCGAGUGCCGGAGGGGAGAGUGGAACUGCGAGUGUAGAGGUGAAAUUCGUAGAUAUUCGCAAGAACACCGGUGGCGAAGGCGGCUCACUGGCCCGGUACUGACGCUGAGGUGCGAAAGCGUGGGGAGCAAACAGG
rnacentral:rRNA from 1 species